GAGAGCAGAGAGAAGGGGAGAGAGAUGAAGAGAGUGAGGGAGAGGGAUAACAGGCUCUUUCUCCUUCUGCUGUGCAACAUUAGUACCAGAAUUCAGUAUACACAUGUACACAAAGUUAGGGGUCUAUAUGUUUCUGUUUCUCAUUUCUCUCUGGGUUCAAUUUUCAUUGGUGGAGGUGGAACUUGGACCUCUCUGCUCUACUCAGGUGGCUCUUCUAGGAAGACAUGGGGAGCAGUGAGGGACGAUAGAGUACUGUGCAUUGGUGGGAAUCCUCACUGGCCAGAGGGAAGCCACAGGGUGAGGAAGGACUCCUCACUGGCCAGAGGGAAGCCGCAGGGCAAGGAAGGACUCCUCACUGACCAGAGGGAAGCCACAGGUUGAGGAAGGACUCCUCACUGGCCAGAGGGAAGCCGCAGGGCAAGGAAGGACUCCUCACUGACCAGAGGGAAGCCACAGGGAGAGGAAGGACUCCUCACUGGCCAAAGGGAAGCCACAGGGAGUGGAAGGACUCCUCACUGGGCAAAGGGAAGCCACAGGGAGUGGAAGGACUCCUCACUGGGCAAAGGGAAGCCACAGGGAGAGGAAGGACUCCUCACUGUCCAGAGGGAAGCCACAGGGAGAGGUUAUGGGCAGUCCACAUGGUCCAGACGGAGUCUUCAGGCAUGGAGGAGUACCUAGAAACCGGUAAUGACACAAUACAUGGUGAUAAAUCAUUGGUGAUAUUGCAUUGGUGAUGCAUCAGGAAGAUCAGCACAACAUGUGGAUCUGGCCUCUUCUUCUCAAGACCACUUGUGGUACAGCAGGGGGAAGGAUCAAGGCAGUUCAUGAGCAUGUCUGUAAGAUAGCAGGGCGAGGAGCACACAGAAGCUUCAGUAGGACCAGCUAUGCAGCAUGAUCCAGGAGGAACCCGCCUCACGUUGGAGGAGGAGCAGAAACAGCUGAGCCCCUGCCCUGUAGAAUCUGACUCCACCCCACCCGCCCCCAGGAUCUGACUCCACCCC